rnacentral:rRNA from 1 species
UACGUAGGGGGCAAGCGUUGUCCGGAGUUACUGGGCGUAAAGGGCGCGCAGGCGGUCUGCUAAGUUCAGAGUGACAGUCACCAGCUUAUCUGGUGAAGGACUUUGAAAACUGGCGGACUUGAGAGCGAAAGAGGGACAUGGAAUUCCGGGUGGAGUGGUGAAAUGCGUAGAGAUCCGGAGGAACACCAAAGGCGAAGGCAGUGUCCUGGUUCGUAUCUGACGCUGAGGCGCGAAAGCCAGGGGAG